UACGAAGGGGCUAGCGUUGCUCGGAAUCACUGGGCGUAAAGCGCACGUAGGCGGACUCUUAAGUCGGUGGUGAAAUCCUGGAGCUCAACUCCAGAACUGCCUUCGAUACUGAGAGUCUCGAGUCCGGGAGAGGUGAGUGGAACUGCGAGUGUAGAGGUGAAAUUCGUAGAUAUUCGCAAGAACACCAGUGGCGAAGGCGGCUCACUGGCCCGGUACUGACGCUGAGGUGCGAAAGCGUGGGGAGC
rnacentral:rRNA from 1 species